GGGGGGCCUGUCAUGGGGGGGAAAGGGCCAUGAGUAUUGUGUAAAUUGGGGAUCUGAGUCCAGAACUGAGGGAAUGGGCUGUGGCAAGUACGCCCUGUUUGGUUUACAUGGUUACUGGUAAUGGUGGUGCCAGUGGGAGCAGAGGAUCUGCUUGCAUCCAUGAGGUACUUAAGAGGCUUUGGGAGGUGCAGUUUGUGAAAAAAAAUCGUGCGAGG